rnacentral:rRNA from 1 species
UCUGGCUCAGGAUUAACGCUGGCGGCGUGCCUAAUACAUGCAAGUCGAAUGGUAGCAAUACCAUGGCGAACGGGUGAGUAACACGUAGGUAACCUGUCUUUAAGCCGAGGAUAACCAUUGGAAACGAUGGAUAAUACUGGAUAGGACAUUUGAAGGCAUCUUUGAAUGUUUAAAGAUUUAUCACUUAGAGAGGGGCCUGCGGCGCAUUAGCUAGUUGGUGAGGUGAAGGCUUACCAAGGCGAUGAUGCGUAGCCGGACUGAGAGGUUGAACGGCCACAAUGGAACUGAGAACGGUCCAUACUCCUACGGGAGGCAGCAGUAGGGAAUUUUCGGCAAUGGGCGGAAGCCUGACCGAAGCAACGCCGCGUGAACGAAGAAGUAUUUCGGUAUGUAAAGUUCUUUUAUUAGGGACGAAAAGACAGAUUGACGGUACCUAAUGAAUAAGCUCCGGCUAACUACGUGCCAGCAGCUGC